UCGGCGGUUGAAGGUCAAUGUUCAGCGGCCGAAAGUGUGGGACUUUCGUCUCUGUCCCUCAAUUUCGGAAGCCGAACUUUUGGCUUAGGGGGCAUACUGAAAUCCCACUUUCGGCGGCCGAAGGUUAAUGUUCGGUGGCUAAAAGUGUGGGACUUUCGUCUCUGUCCCUUACUUUCGGAAGCUGAAAGUUUGACUUUAGGGGGCACAAAAAUAAUUCUUUAAAUCUUUGAAAAAUCAUAACUUAGGUUAUAAAAUUCCAUUUUUCAAUCCGUUUGAAUUUUUGCAAUCUAUAUUUUUGGAUCUUUAAUUUUGAUAAAAAAUAAUUUCAAAAUCACUCUUUUUGGAAAAUUUCAUUUUGGUCCCUCAAAGAUAAUUUAUUAAAAAAUUGGCCCUAUAAAACUUUUAGAAAUGAAAGAACCCUUGAGCCAUCACAAUUAAUUAAUUGAAAGUCACAAUGAAUAAAUUGACAAAAAAUAAACCAUAGAUUACUUUCUGAUCCCUUUCUUGUGGUAUGCUUCCAAAAUAGGCACUUUUCAUUUUUAGAGACUGAAGUAAUUUCAUUCAUGUUAGUAAGGGACCUACAAGCUCAACACAAACACUUUUGAAGACAAUUAGUAGUACAUCAAUUGUUUAUUAAUCAUCAAAACAAUGAUUAAAACAUUUAGGUCCAACAAUCUCCCCCCUUUUGAUGAUGACAAACAAUUGGUAAAUAAUAAGAUAAUAAUCACAAGUGUAGUGUGUGUGUUUUUAAAAAUUACUCCCCCUUAAUGUGCUCCCCCUUUCAAAAAUACUUUAUGCCAUAAUUAAGGUUUGAGAAGACACAUAUAAGGAAGAUUUUGACUCAAUGCAAUGAGAUGCAAUGAAAUACAAUGGAUCCUAUAUGAAUGAAUGAACAAAGAAAAAUGCAUCUCAAGAAGAGCUAUAAUCAUACACAAUAUUCAUAAUUCAAGAGAGUCAAAUAAAUGUCAAGGUAUCAACACAUUAUUUAAUAUCCAUAAAUCCAAAAUCUAUAAAUCACAUAUCAACACAUCAUCUAAUAUCCACAAAUCUCAUAUAAUAUGUACAUAUAUGAUACCAUAAUACCAUCUCCCCCUUUUGACAUCAUCAAAAACAAAUGGACCACAAUACCAAAAGGGGAAUAACAAGAGUACACUAGCAAAACAAACAAAAAUAAAAACUAUAUCAAACAAAUUGACAAACUUUCAAAGAAAAAAAUAAAUAAAAGAAAUAUACACUCAACAAGCAACACUAUCUAACAUUCCCAAUUCCCUUUUAAUGAAGUAAAAUCUUUCUUCAUUUAAAGGUUUAGUGAAAAUAUCAGCUAAUUGGUUGUUUGUAUCCACAAAUUCAAUAGCAACAUCACCAUUUAACACAUGAUCACGAAUGAAAUGAUGUCUAAUGUCAAUAUGCUUAGUUCUAGAAUGUUGAAUGGGGUUCGUGGUUAGAUUGAUUACACUUGUAUUAUCACAUUUAAUAGGAAUGUGAUCAAGAGAUACUUCAAAGUCUCUUAAUUGUCGCUUAAUCCAAAGGAUUUGACUACAACAAAGACUCGCCGCCACAUAUUUGGCUUCGGCGGUUGAAAGUGCAACCGAAUUUUAUUUCUUGCUACACCAAGAAAUAAGAGAUUGUCCUAGAAGUUGACAAGUAUCCGAGGUACUUUUCCUAUUAAGAAUGCUUCUGGCAAAGUUGGCAUCCGAGUAGGAACAUAAACUAAAGGAUGUACUUCUAGGAUACCAUAGCCCCAAAUGCAAUGAACCAUUUAAAUAUCUAAGAAUGCGUUUAACGGCAUGCAAAUGAGACUCUUUAGGACAUGAUUGAAAACGUGCACAUAAGCAUACGGAAAACAUAAUAUCCGGUCUAGAUGCGGUGAGAUAUAAAAGGCUUCCGAUCAUACUUCUAUAGAGCUUUUCAUCAAUUGGUUUACCUUUUUCAUCCUUGUCAAGCUUAGUGUUUGUGCUCAUUGGUGUUCUACUAGGCUUGCUAUUCUCCAUCCCAAAUCUUUUGAUUAGCUCCUUUGUGUAUUUGGCUUGGUUGAUGAAGAUGUCAUCCUUAGCUUGUUUGAUUUGAAGCCCAAGGAAGAAUUUGAGUUCUCCCAUCAUGUUCAUCUCAAACUCGCUUUUCAUAACUUUUGAAAACUCUUCACACAAGCACACAUUAAUAGCACCAAAUAUAAUAUCAUCAACAUAUAUUUGCACUACAAGGAUGUUAUUUUCAUGAUUUUUGACAAAGAGUGUUGUAUCCACUUUGCCUUUUGAAAAACCAUUUUGCAAAAGAAAAUUACUUAGUCUUUCAUACCAAGCUCUUGGAACUUGUUUUAAACCAUAUAAAGCUUUAGACAAUUUAAAAACAUGAUUUGAAAAGACAUGAUUUUCAAACCCCAGAGGUUGCUCAACAUAAACCUCAUCCUCAAUAAAACCAUUUAAAAAGGCACUUUUCACAUCCAUUUGAAAGAGUUUAAAAUUCAUAUAUGAUGCAUAUGCAAGCAAGAUUCUAAUGGCUUCUAAUCUAGCUACGGGGGCAAAUGUUUCAUCAUAGUCUAUGCCCUCCUCUUGAUUAUAGCCUUUAGCUACCAACCUAGCUUUGUUUCUUAUGAUAUUGUCAUCUUCAUCAAGCUUAUUUCUAAACACCCAUUUGGUGCCUAUGGUGGGGUGAUGUUUUGGUCGAGAAACUAAGGUCCAAACCUUGUUCCUUUCAAAUUGGUUGAGUUCUUCUUGCGUAGCAAGAACCCAACUCUCAUCACUAAUAGCCUCAUCUAUAGAUUUAGGUUCUAUAUAAGAUAUGAAUGCAAUAUUAUUACAUACAUGUCUAAUAGAAGAUCUAAUAGUUACCCCUUGUGAUGCAUCACCAAUUAUUUAGUCCUUGGGGUGAUCCUUCUUAUAGGUCCAAUCCUUUGGUAAGUCAUGUUGAACUCCUUGACUUUGUGUAAUUUGCAUUUGUUGCUCUUGGAGUUCAACCUCAUCUUCCUUUGCCUCUAUUGAAUCCUCCUUGGGUUGACUUUGAUCUCCAUGAGGUUGAGGAUCAUCAAUGGUCAACUCAUCAAGGUUACCUACAAGAUCAUCAUCACAAGAUACCUCCUUUCUAGGAGCAAAGGGAUUAGAUUCAUAAAAAACAACAUGCAUUGACUCUUCAACUAUCAAGGUUCUUUUAUUGAAUACUCUAUAUGAUUUACUAGAUGUAGAGUAUCCUAAGAAGAUACCUUCAUCGGUUUUGGAGUCAAAUUUGCCUAGAUUAUCCUUGUUGUUUAAUAUAAAGCAUUUACAAUAAAAAAAACUCUAAAAUAACUAACUCUAGGUUUCCUUCCAUUCCAAAGCUCAUAAGGAGUCUUAUUUAAGAGAGGUCUAAUUAAAACUCUAUUUGAAACAUAACAAGCCGUAUUUAUGGCUUCCGCCUAAAAAUAAGUAGGUAAAUUAUACUCUCUUAACAUAGUCCUCCCCAUAUCUAAAAGAGUUCUAUUUUUUCUUUCAACAACACCAUUUUAUUGGGGAGUCCUAGGAGAUGAAAAAUUAUGAGUGAUCCCUAACUUAUUACAAAAGACUUUAAAUUUUUCAUUUUUAAAUUCUCUACCAUGAUCACUCCUUAUUGAAGAAAUUUGAAAAUCCUUUUCAUUUUGAACUUUCUUUGUACAACUUUUAAAAGCAUCAAAACAAUCAUUCUUAUGAGCAAGGAACACAACCCAAGUGUACCUAGAGUAGUCAUCAACUAUAACAAAUCCAUAAUGCAUGCUACCAAGACUAGCUACUCUAGUUGGACCAAAUAAAUCCAUAUGCAAAAGAUGUAAAGGUCUAGAAGAGAUUACCUUAUUAAUAGAUUUAAAAGAGCUCUUAACUUGCUUACCAAUUUGACAUGCAUCACACACUUUGUCCUUUUCAUAUUUGAUCUUAGGAAGGCCAUCAACUAGCUCAUCUUUGCUCAAAUUUUUGAGAAGAUCCAUGCUAGCAUGAAAAAGCCCUCUAUGCCAAAUCUAAGAGUUAUCACUAAUAGAAACAAAUCACUUCAUAUCUAGGUUAGUCAUAGCUUGUAAAUCAAUAAGAUAGAUAUUUUCAACUCUUUCACCAACAAACAAUUUUUGUUAUCCGAUAUUCCAGAGACAAAGCAUGAUUUUGGUUCAAAGAUAACUCUACAACCUUUGUCACAUAAUUGACUUACACUUAAUAAAUUAUGCUUCAAACCAUCAACUAAGAGAACUUUAUCAAGAAUAGGAGAGUUUUCCUUACCGACUUUACCUAUUUCAAUAAUUUUACCUUUUCCAUUAUCUUCAAAAGUUACUUGUCCACUUCCGUCUUUCUUUUCAAGAGAGAUGAAGUGACUUGAAUUUCCGGUCAUGUGCCUUGAACAUCCACUAUCUAGAUACCAUUUGCUUUCAAUUUUUGAGGAUUUCAAGCACACCUAAAGAAAAAAGAUUCAAACACUUUUAGGUACCCAAAUGUACUUGGGUCCUUGGGGGUUAGUCAUUUCACUAUCCAAUUUCCAUAUGCUAUCAUAUCCAAGAUGUAAUUUUCUAAUAGUACACCUAUAAUUGGUAUGACCAAACUUGCCACAAUAGUGACAAUGACCAUUGAACCUUCUUAUUCUAGGUCCAUAGGUGAGUGAGUGUGUUUGAGUUCUCAUGUGGCCAUUUCUUCCUUGUUUAUUAACAGCAUGUGAGCAAGAGAUAUGAUGAGAGUGGGGAUUGCGUGAACUAGAAGUGUGUGUUCUAUAAUGAUCAUUUCUUUUAUAUGCAAAUUAUCUAGGUGUGUGUCUUAUAUGAGUAUUGUACCUAAUGGAUUUGUGUAUAUGUGCAUUCUUUAUAGAUAUAUUACUACUAGAAACUUUAGGUAUGUUUUCAUUAGAGCUAGAUACCUUAGGUUCUUUUAAAUUAGUAGCUUUAACAAAAACAGUUUUAGAAGAGUUUGCUUGAGUUGAUUUAUCAUAGCCAAGGCCAUACUUGAUGCUAGGAGACCUUUGAGAGUCUAAUAUUUCAUCAAGUUUGUCCUUGCCUUUUAAAAAUUUUGAAAGAGAAUUUUUCAACUCAAGGAUUUCAUUUUUCAAAUUUUUAUUUUCUAAUGAGAGCUCAUCUAAUGAUUUUUGUAAAUGAUCACUUGAGGGCAAUGAUUCCUUAGGUGAGUUCUCAUUUUCCCUUUUUAGGCUAGCUAACUCACAUUUCAAAAUCUUGUUUUUCUUAUGACUCUUUUCAAGCUCAUCAUUCAUCAAUUUUAAAGCACCAACAAGUUCAUCAUAAGAAAAUUCAACAACAUCAUCAUAUAAGGUAGUGUCAUCAAGAGUAGUUACCUCAUCGGAGCUUUCCUCUAGAACCAUGAAGCACAUGUUGGCAACUUCAUCACCAACGUCCUCUUCUUUGGUAUCACUUGACUCAUCCCAUGUUGCUUUGAAGGCCUUCUUUUUGAACUUUUUGAUAGGUUUCUUCAACUUGGGACAAUCCACUUUGUAGUGACUCGGCUUAUUGCACUCAUAGUAAAUGACUACUUCCUUUUUUCUUGACUCACCUUUUUCCUUUCUAAAAUUCUUCCUUGGGAUGAAUUUUUUAUUUUGGAGAAGCAACUUCCUUAUUUUCUUAGUCACCAAGGCUAAUUCUUCCUCACUUAUUUCUUCUUCUUCCUCACUAGUAUCUUCGGAGGCUACCCUUAGAGCAACGUUCUUUUUCAUUUUGCUAGGUUCCUCCACUUGCUCUCUCUUUAGAGUCAUCUCAUAGUCAAUGAGGUUCCCCAAGAGUUCAUUCAAUUGCACUUUGCUCAAAUCUUUGGCAUCCUUUAGAGAAGUUACUUUUGGUAGCCAUUCUUUAGGUAGACAUCUAAGGAUUUUCUUCACCAAUUCUUCAUUUGUAAAUGUCUUCCCAAGAGAUUUCAUCCCUCCAAUAAUCUCAAUGAACCUAUCAUACAUUUGGCUAAUAGUUUCAUCGGAUUUCAUUUUGAACAACUCAUAUUGAUAGAUGAGAGAUUCCAUCUUGUUUUCUUUGACUUGAUUGGUUCCUUCAUGAGUGACAACCAAAGCAUCCCAAAUUUCCUUUACGGUAGACUUCAUGCAUACUUUGUUGUACUCACUUCUACUAAGAGCAUAAAACAAGAUGUGAAUGACUUUGUCAUUAAGGGCUACCCUUCUCUUUUCUAGUUCACUCCAUUCACUCUUAGGUUUUUGCUCUUGGUUUCCAUCUAUCAUUCUUGUGGGAAAGAAAGGACCCUUUUCUACAAUAUCCCACAAAUCAACUCCUUCUGAUUUGAGAAAAUAAUACAUUCUAUUUUUUCAAUAUAGAAAGUCAUUUCCAUCAAAGAAAGGUGGUCUCACAACCGAUUGACCUUCUUCAGAAUUGAGGGUUGCCAUCCGAUCUUUUCUCCAAGAUGAUUAAAUCUCCAAGAUGAUUAAAUCUUCAAGAUAGGGAGACUUAGCUCUGAUACCACUUGUUGUCCCUUGAAGCAACCCAAGAGGGGGGUGAAUUGGGUUUAUAAAAAAUUUAAUGCAAAAAGACAAAAUAGAAGGCAAUAAAGAAGAGAAUGAUCAACAUAAGGAUUUAUAAAGGUUCAACUAUCUCAAGCUUAUGUCCUCUCCUCAAGACCCUCCUUGAGAGUUCAACUCCACUAUCAAAUCUUCUUUGGGUGAAGAUUAAAACCCCUUAUAAUCUUAGAGCAAGCCUUUGCUCUUUACAAUUCUCUUUUUCAACUUAAGAGCAAUCCUUUGCUCAAUACCAUACCCACUAUAGUAGAAUUACUCAACAACCUUUACUCACUCUAGAAAAGCCAAACAAUUACAACUCAACACGAGCUUUCAAGAAAUUAAUGCUUUGACUCAAGGUUUUGAGAAAGAGAGAGUGAAAAAGUUAUAACCUCAAUAAGUAUUUGCUUAGAUGGUUGUUGUAACCUUUUCAUAUCAAAAACUCAUUGUAUUUAUAGCUCCAUCAUAAAUAUGGCCAUUGGGAGUGCAUUAAAUGCAAAUAGAACCGUUUAUGUUAAAAAAUAACCGUUAUAUCGUGUUCAGAAAAACUCAGGUUCGGCGGCCUAAGCUUAGAGUUCGGCGGCCGAACCAUUUGAGGUGAAGAACAUCAUCCUUUAAAAAUGGACUUUCGGCGGCCGAACAUGUGUGUAAUACUCAGCUAGACCCUAGCAUCAGAAUUCCUACCUUCCUGUGGAAUCUCCGUUGAAAUCCGGAAUUUAUCGGACGUCGGAGCCUUCUGGAAGGGUAAAAUAAGGUUUCCAUAAAAUGUUUUUAAUGUUUUUAUGAUUUUGAGCAAGAAAAUUGAGUUUUGAAAGAAAAGAGCUUGAGGGAAAAACCCAGGUUCGGCCACCGAACCUCCUGUUCGGCCGCCGAACAUGGGGCGGAUGCGGAGGUACUUUUGGCCCCCGAAAGUGGCCUGGCCAGCCACCUAUAAAGGGCCCCCUGUCCAAAAAUGGGCGAGUUUUCUCUCUCCAUUUUCAGGCAAGGUGAGUCUCCGCCACCCCUUGUCGAUCUUGUGCUUUUCCUUCAAGUCUCUCAGGAUUUUUAUGAGUUUUUACCAUGUUUUGAAGAUUUUUGAGCUUAGAUCAAAGUUUUGGAGCUUGGAGACCUUCGGAGCUCGUUUCCUCCUCAUCUCCAAGUUGGGUCACACCUACCCUUGAUCUUCAAGAGGUAAGUGUAGAUCCAUACCUUUUUACAUGUUUUAAGUAAGUUUUAAAAAGGGGUUAAGGGUAUAUGAUGCAUGUUUAGAGUAGAUGUAAAAUGUUAGGGUUUAUGUUAGUUAAAUGAUAAAUGUAUGUUUAUGUGAUGCUAUGUUGAUGUUUGUUGGGGUUUAGGCUAGUUUUAUGCCCCUAUGUGCUUGAAAAUGUGUUUAUGCAUGUUUUAGAAUAGUUGAAUGCAUGUUGUGAGGUUAUGGGAGGCUAGAUGUGAGAGGCGAAUCGGGUUUUGUCAUUCUGGAGAACCCAGGUUCGGCCGCCGAACCUGCCUGUGGAGGCAGCUUUAGGCCGCCUAAACUUGCCCCCGAAAGUGGGUGACUUUCGGGUCUGUGAAGGCUUUCGGCCGCCAAACCUUACCCCCGAAAGUGCCUGACUUUUGAUUCUGCAGGGACUUUCGGCCGCCGAACCUGCCACCGAAAGUCUCCUGCCCAGCCUUCCUUUGCAUGUUUUCUAUGCAUGUUUUAUGAUGUUUUAUAGGGGUUUUUGGGAAGUUGUUUAGAGUCAUGUUAGAGUAUGUUUGGUCCCUCAUUUGAGUCCACCUGUGUAGGAUUGGACCUGAGGAACCGAGGUGAUCAGCAGUGUGAUAGCUGCUCCAGAGUUAGUUUAGAGUCAGCCAGAGGUGAGUAGAACUAAACUAAUCUUUUAUUUCGAGAAAUCAAAUGUUUUAAGCAUAUUCAUGCAUCAUGUAUAUGUAAUAGGUUGAUUGCACUAGACCUCAUGAAUAUGACGCAUUGCAUUAUUCAUUAUGGGUGUGGAUGGACAACAGGACGACCCAUUAGCCCUCUAGAUAUUUCUAUGUAACAGAAGUCCUGAGGAGCCCCACCGAGGGCCGGCCACAGAGUACAGGAAAGACCAGGUGAGGACUGCACUACGCCCCUGGCACAGAGCUUAUGUUAUGUAAUAGAAGUCCUGAUGAGCUCCACCGAGGGCCGGACAUAGAGUAGAGAGAUUUUUGGGUCAGUCCAUCCGUGAUGUGAAUUGUUUGUAUUGUGACGCAUUUCAUGAAAGCAUAUGUUUAAUUAAACUGUUUUACUAUUCUGCUCACUGGGCUUUUGUAGCUCACCCCUCUCCCCUAACCCCCAGGUUUGCAAGAGCACAGGUAGCUAUGGGAAAGUCAGCAAGGUUAUGAUAUAGUCUAUGUAAUAGUCUAGUAGUGGACAUGAUAUGUAAAAUGAUGUAAUGUAAAGUAUUGUAAUGAGGAUUAGUAUUGUGCUUAGCCCUAAUGUAUGGUUAAUCCCUUUUGGUACAUGAUCUUUAUGAAAUGUUCUAAUGAUAAGUUAUGUUGAACCAAGCUUGAUGUAUGAGAUGAUGACCCAACUGGAGCAUUUGAUGAAGGCUCCAGUAUGAGGUUUUUAUAUUUACAGUUAUGAUGCAUGCACAGGUCAAGCUUGGUAUAUGAAAAGUUUAAAGUUUUUAUGAAAAUUUAUGGUCAUGUAUGGGAUUUUAUCAGAUGUACAGAAUGUAUAGUAGGCUUGUUACGGGUCCCGGCGACCUUAAGUCGAUCUGGAUCCUAGCGUCGGUAGUGGUCCGAUUUUCGGAUCGUUAAAAUGUGGGACUUUCGUCUCUGUACCUCGCUUUCGGAAGCCGAAGUUUAGGCUUCGGAGGCAGACUUAAAACUCACUUUCGGCGGCCGAAGGUCAAUGUUCGGCGGCCGAAAGUGUGGGACUUUCGUCUCUGUCCCUCAAUUUCGGAAGCCGAACUUUUGGCUUAGGGGGCAUACUGAAAUUCCACUUUCGGUGGCGGAAGGUUAAUGUUCGGCGGCCGAAAGUGUGGGACUUUCAUCUUUGUCCCUUACUUUCGGAAGCCGAAAGUUUGACUUUAGGGGGUACAAAAAUAAUUCUUU
rnacentral:lncRNA from 1 species